GGCCUUUUAGCAUACUCGGUAAAUGCACAAAGACACCGUCCACUUGCCAUUUUCGGUCUGUUACAUGUAAUUGACUUUGAGAAGCUGGUUCGAAUCCAGCAAAGGCCG